AUUAGGAUGUUGGUGGGGUCGGCCUCCAAGCCUCAUCUAUAGCUGGUUUUAGAGGAUGAUCAGCAACACUGGGACUGAGACACGGCCCAGACUCCUACGGGAGGCAGCAGUGGGGAAUCUUAGACAAUGGGGGCAACCCUGAUCUAGCCAUGCCGCGUGAGUGAUGAAGGCCUUAGGGUCGUAAAGCUCUUUCGCCUGUGAUGAUAAUGACAGUAGCAGGUAAAGAAACUCCCGGCUCAA
rnacentral:rRNA from 1 species